UCCGUUAUGGUAUAGUGGCUAACAUCAUCGCCUCUCAUAGAUUCACCUGAGUACUCGCGAUAGGCCAGCGUCCGAUUCCCUGUAAUGGAA